rnacentral:misc_RNA from 1 species
GAAAUGCGAUAAGUAAUGUGAAUUGCAGAAUUCAGUGAAUCAUCGAAUCUUUGAACGCACAUUGCGCCCGCCAGUAUUCUGGCGGGCAUGCCUGUCCGAGCGUCAUUUCAACCCUCGAACCCCUCCGGGGGAUCGGCGUUGGGGAUCGGGACCCCUCACCGGGUGCCGGCCCUGAAAUACAGUGGCGGUCUCGCCGCAGCCUCUCCUGCGCAGUAGUUUGCACAACUCGCACCGGGAGCGCGGCGCGUCCACGUCCGUAAAACACCCAACUUCUGAAAUGUUGACCUCGGAUCAGGUAGGAAUACCCGCUGAACUUAA